UCUACAGUAGGUGGUGGCUGAUGCUGG
rnacentral:piRNA from 1 species